rnacentral:rRNA from 1 species
UUCAGAAUCUUGCACAAUGGGCGAAAGCCUGAUGCAGCGAUACCGCGUGGUGGAAGAAGGCCUUCGGGUUGUAAACACCUGUCAGGGGGAACGAUAAUGACGGUACCCCCAAAGGAAGUCACGGCUAACUACGUGCCAGCAGCCGCGGUAAUACGUAGGUGGCAAGCGUUACCCGGAAUCACUGGGCGUAAAGAGUUCGUAGGCGGUUCCAUGUGUGAGAGGUGAAAUCUCUAGGCUCAACCUAGAAACUGCCUCGCAAACUGUGGGGCUAGAAGCGGUCAGAGGUUGGUGGAAUUCCCGGUGUAGCGGUGAAAUGCGUAGAGAUCGGGAGGAACACCAGUGGCGAAGGCGACCAACUGGGGCUUGCUUGACGCUGAGGAACGACAGCCAGGGGAGCGAACG